rnacentral:lncRNA from 1 species
AUGAAACGGAGAGCUUUGCCUGCUCUGAAGUUCUUUAGAAAGAAGCAAGCAGGACUCAGAAGACAAGCAGAGGGGCACUCCAGUUCUCCAGACAAGCUGUAUGGACAAACAGAGCAGCCAGUGGCAGCAGAAGAAGGGAGAUCUCAUUGCCAGGCUGGGCCCAGUUUUCAGCUUUUCAGCCUGUGGGUGUUCCUAGAAGACAAGAAUGGGAGGAAUGGAAUGAUCCGAGUUCCCCUUGCUCAACUCGUCUUCCAGAGAGCUGUACACUGGGAGAUUUGCACUGAAGCUCUGCCCCUGGCGUUAUCUGUUAUUAAUUUGUUGACUUCCAUGAACGUAUUUUGCCUUCUUGCCAGAAGAGGUCCAAACCUCAGUAACUUACUGCUUCAGCCAAAAGAAGUCUAUGAAGAGUCAGUUUACUUACAGAAAUCUUGUUGA